rnacentral:lncRNA from 1 species
AUGUGUGGAUGGUGGAUAUUUGUUGGCGCUCUGGCUGGGAUCCUCACCGUCCCCCGUGGGAUUCACGGAGCUUGUGUCUAUGAGGGAUCGCUGCAUGCGAACAACACGUCAUGGAGGCCGCAGUCCUGUCAGGAGUGUACCUGCUAUGGUGAUGUGGCCAUCUGUGGGCCCACCCACUGUCCCAACCCCCACUGUGACCUGCAGAGGGGCGAGCAUUUGAGGAUCCCUGCCAACAAGUGCUGUCCAGAGUGCGCCUCCUCAUCCCAGGGCUCCUGCCAGUAUGAAGGAGUCAUCUAUGGACAUGACAGUCAGUGGAGUCCCUCGCCUUGUUCAGUGUGUACUUGCUCCGGAGGGAGCGUAUCCUGCACCACUCACCCCUGCCCGCAUCUCACCUGUCCCGGGGAUCAAAGCCUGUUCACCCCAGCCGGGGAGUGUUGCCCCAAGUGUGGCAGCAAUGGAGAGUCUUGCUCUUGGCAGGGGAUCGUUUACAGGGAUGGAGAGGAGUGGAAGCCCAGCCUCUGUUCCAGAUGUGUCUGCAGCAAUGGAGAGGUCCAGUGUUCAGUAGCAGAGUGUCAGCAAGUGGCCUGCAAACCGCACGAGAACUUGGUGAUCCAGCCAGGAGAGUGCUGUCCCCAGUGUGUGUCCAACCCUUGUCUGUCAGCUGGAAAACAGUACCAGCACGGUGAGCAGUGGCAGAAGAACACCUGCACCACGUGCGUGUGUGACCGGGGUCAAUCUAAAUGCCACACUAAAACCUGCCCACCCAUAACCUGCGACAAGGGUCAGACCAAAGUGAAGCGUGCCGGGCAGUGCUGUGAUGAAUGCGCUGCUGCUAAGGGAAGCUGCCAGUACCAGGGCGCAGUGCGUUACCAUGGAGACAUGUGGAACAGCACUGGCUGCGAGUUCUGUACCUGCAGCCGGGGUCAGGUCCUCUGUCAGAGGGCCGAGUGUGGACGUGUCGAAUGCCCGCAGAACCUUGCUCGAUGGAGUGAUGGCAGUUGUCGUGAGUGUGAAUGCCACGAUGCCCAGGUGACUUGUUAUCUGAGAUCCUGCCGUACCUGCCCUCUGGGCACCCUGGCUGUCAUUCAGGACGGCCAAUGUUGCCCCGAGUGUCACCAAGCCCAGUGCCACACAGACUGCCUGUCGUGCUCGGGAACGCCUGAUCACUGUGACAGCUGCAGGGAGCCACAGGCCUUACUUCAUCUUGGCCGCUGCCUGUCUGUCUGUCCAGUGGGCUUCUACGCUGAAGGACGAGUAUGUGCAGCCUGCCAAUCAUCCUGUGCCACCUGUUCCAGCAGGUGGGAUUGUCAGUCCUGCGGCUCCAGGCUGCCCCUGCUGAACCCCGAUAGGAGUCAGUGCCUGGCUUCCUGUCCACCUGGUUCCUAUCAGCACGACCCAACACACUGUCGCUACUGUCACGAGUCGUGCUCGGAGUGCCGUGGGCCGAGUCAGCAGGAGUGCGUGUCGUGCUCAGACCCAGCCGCCUUGCUGAAAGACGGGGCGUGCGUCCUUGACUGUGGCACAGGUUUCUACAGUCAAGAAGGCGUCUCCUGCCACAGCUCCUGCGCCUCCUGCUGGGGUCCCUCGGUAUCCCAGUGCACCUUGUGUCCAGGUGCACUCCUUCUCCACCAGGGACAGUGUGUGGAGGCCUGUGGGGAGGGACUGUAUGCUCAGGACUACACCUGCCACAGUGAGAGUCUAAAUACAUUAAUAAAGUGUCCUGUUAAUACAACUUCUCUUCCUUGUUCCCAGAACUGUCAUCCCUCCUGCCGUUCUUGUGUGGGACCCCUGGCCUCAGACUGCCUCCGCUGCCUCAAACCGGAGGAAGCUCUUCUUCCGCAAUCGAGUCACCUUCAGCACAGCGUCUGCACAGCUGGGUGUCCCACGCGCAGCUUCCUGGAUGACAUGCAGACAUGCAGAGAGUGUCAUCCCUCCUGUUGGCAGUGUGCUGGGCCAUCUGCAGACAACUGUACGUCCUGUCCCUCCCCGUCCAGCCUGUACGAGGGCCGCUGUGUCCCCACAUGCCCACAAGGCUUCUUUAUUCAGGACAACCAAUCGUGCCAUCCCUCCUGCCAGACCUGCUCCGGUCCCUCCCAGAGUGGCCACUGCAGGGCAAACUGCCAAGAGGGGCAUUUCCUUAAUGCUAUCUCUGGAGAGUGCCUCAAGUGCAGCUCGGACUGCCAGCGCUGCACAGCAGACCUCCAGACGGGCGUCGGCAGCAUUUGUCUGUGGUGCAAAGCGCCAAGAAUGUGGCUGCUGGGCGAUCACUGUGUCUCUCACUGUCCUCUGGGUCAUUAUGGCUGGCAUGGAGCCUGCAUCAGAUGCCAUCCAUCAUGCGAGGCCUGCAGUGGGGCUGGGCUGCUCUCUUGUACUUCCUGCCCUGCCAACAGCGUUCUCUUGCCAUCUGGACUUUGUGCCCCCAAAUGUCCCCUUGGAUACUAUAACAAUGGCCAAAGGAUCUGCCAGGUAUGUGACAGCCAGUGCCUGACGUGCGAUAUGCCCGGGGUUUGUACGUCCUGCCGUGACCCGGCCAAGGUGCUGCUGUUCGGAGAAUGCCAGUACGACAGCUGCGCCCAUCAGUACUACCUCAACACCACGACCCGCACCUGCAGAGAGUGUGACUGGAGCUGCAACGCCUGUAAAGGCCCCCUGAGGACUGACUGCCUGCAGUGCAUGGAGGGCUACGUGUUGCAGGGGGGAGUGUGCACGCAGGGGUGCUCCUUUGGCUCCUAUCGAGACGGAGACAGAUGCCUUGGCUGUGAUGAUCACUGCUUGGACUGUCAAGGUCCUGGACAGUGCCAGGAAUGCCAGCCUCCCUACGCCACGCUGCACGGCCAGUGUGUGCUCGAAUGUGGCAGAAACUACUUCCUGGAUGCAUCUUCCAAAGCUUGCACAUCUUGCUCGUCCGACUGCGUGCUCUGUGACGGGAUCGGACUCUGCAGAGCUUGUCGUAAUCAGACCUACCUCAUGGAAGGAUACUGCACUCCCGACUGUGGACAUGGAUAUUACGCAGACCAGAAGACCAGGACCUGUCACAUGAACGCCCACUCGCCUGCCCUCCAUGUCAACGGGUCCCUGCUGGUUCCCUUUGAUGGUUUUGCCCCGCUGCUCCCCACCCUGCUGCAGGUGAAAGACCCAGACAGUCCGUCUGAGCAGCUGAUCUUUCAGCUUGUUCAGAAGCCGAGUAACGGACGGCUGGUCCUGUUCAGAGGGGAGGAAGGUGAAGAGACGGGAGGCCGAGAAAUAAAGAAGGACGACACGUUCACGUGGGCAGAGCUGAGACACGGACAGGUCCGAUUCCGAUACCAGAAAGACAAAGACAGCGGUGAGUUCACCUUGCGUGUUGCUGAUCCCCAGCUGUUUUCCCAACCGAAAACAAUUCAAGUCCGAGCCGUGUCCAUGCAGGUAACCCCGAGAGUCGUGACCCUCUCCCCUCUUACCGUGGAGGGCCGUGGCAGCCUGGCAACCAUCACCAAGUCAGUCCUGCAGGUCGACGACCCUGACAACGCAGCCGAUGUCCUGGUCAUGGUACUUGAGCUGCCCCGCCAUGGCCGGCUGACCCGUCUCCACAGCGACCGCGCUCUCAGCCGAUUCAAGCUGGAGGAGCUGUCACGGGAACAGAUUCAAUACAUCCACGACGGUUCGGAGGGGGCAGAGGACGGGGCGGUGCUGCAGAUCAACGACGGCCACAGCUACAAGAAUAUUCUGCUCCGAGUCCAAAUACACCACAAGCCUGGAGACUCUCCUCACAUGUUGUCCAUUCCAGUGACCUGGGUGAAAGAGGGAGGCAUGGUGCGACUGGAUAAAAAGUACCUGCAGACAGAUUUCAAAGGAGUCAGCACUGAUAACAUUGUCUACAGCAUCCUCCCCUCAGAGGGGCAACCCAAAUAUGGUGAGGUGUUGCUGGUGUCCAUGCCGGCUGAUGGCCCCUCAGAGGGUUGGCUUCCCUCGCUAACAGACGACCGCAGCUUUACAGCAACGACUUCCUUCACGCAGCAAGACGUGAAUGACGGUGCAGUCUGGUACCGCCACUUUGGCACCGGCAGCAGCGGUGACUCCUUCCUGUUCCAGGUUUCCACAGAGGCAGAACCAGUCGUUCAGAGCGAUGCUCAGACCUUCACCAUAGGAGUCAUGCCUCAGAUCCCAGGAUUCCCACAGCUGGCCCCCGACUGCGACCUACAGAUCACGGCUCUGGAGGAUCAGGUGACAGAGAUAACGCCUUCAGCGCUGUCCUUCGUCGACUCUGAGACUCCCAGCGAGAAGCUCAUCUACAGUAUCACCAAACCACUACCAUCGGGACAAGGGACCAUCGAGCACCGUGACAGGCCGCACACACACGUGCAACAUUUCACUCAGGCUGAUGUGAAUAACGGCAAGAUCAUCUACAGACCGCCGCAGGCUCCGUCACACCUCCAGGAGCUCUACCAGUACUCCUUCACUGGCCUGCCGGAGUCGCUGAGCGUUUAUUUCACAGUGUCAGAUGGCGAGCACACCACGCCUGAGCUGGACUUUGCUGUCCUGCUGCUGACAAACCACCAGCAGCCGCCGGUGUUUCAGGUUCUGGACCCGCUGCUGGAGGUCAGCCUCGGAGGACAAGCUGCCAUCGGCGGUCAGCAGCUGGCUGUGAGCGACGUUGACACGGCUCCAGAUGACCUGGAGUUCGAGGUGGUAGAAGCUCCCGUCCAUGGAGAGCUGAUAAAGACUGACGGCAACACAAAAAUUCGCAUGACUAAUGGUGACACCUUCACUUUCAGCGACGUCACCCGCAAUGUCCUGCUCUACCGUCACUCCGGGCUCUCCACCCAAGAUGAUGCCAUCACCUUCUCAGUUAGCGACGGUAUCUCCAUGGCUGCCACGGUAGUGCAGGUGGUGGUUUUGGGCGCUGGAGGCAGCGGGCCACAGCAGGACCCCAUCGCCACUCUCUCGCUGGAAGUGGGCGAGAAAAGCAGCACUGUCAUCAGACGCUCACACCUGGCUUACACGGAUGACACAUCCCCAGAUGACCAGAUUCGAGUCCAGCUGGUGUCUGUGCCAAUGUACGGCAUCCUGACCAGGAGCCAGUCCCAGCAGGAGCACCAGGAGCUGAGGGAGUACUCCUCCUUCACAAUGGAGGACAUCAACAAGCACAGGAUCAGGUACAUCACUUCGAUAGAGACGGGAAGUCAGCCAGUGACUGAUAUCUUCCACUUUGUUGUUUACGAUGGAGACAACAAUCGCCUUGACAACCAGAUAUGCACCAUCACCAUCACCUCCACACCAAGACAGCCGCCGGUGGUCACUGUCCGAGGCAGCAUCAAGGUCGAGGAAGGUGGUCGUGUGCAGCUGUCUACCAAUGACAUCACAGUGUCAGAUGUGGACACGCCCCCGAAGGAGCUGCUGAUUUGGCUCAUCAGCCCUCCUAAAUAUGGUUUUAUUGAGAACACCAGGAGAGGCAGCUCCAUUGGCGGCUCACAUGUCGUCACCCCUGAUGUGCCGUUCUCUGUGGAGGACCUUACAUCCGGCCAUAUCUCUUACGUCCAGGAGAGCCAGCUUAAACCUCAAACCAAGCAGGACAUCUUCAGCGUCUACAUCAGUGACGGGCUCAGCCAGACGGAAGCUUUCAGUGUGGAAAUUGACAUCCAGCAGAGUAAAGAGGACAAAGAGCCGGUGGUGUCCGUCAGCAGCAUCCAUAUAGAGGAAAACUCUGGAGUUGUCAUCACCAACUCGUCCCUCAGCGUCCACGAUCAGGACACACCAGAGAACGAGAUCCUCUUCACUAUUAUCAGAAUUCCCAGCUAUGGCAAGCUCCGCAGGCGGCAGUUCUACUCCCAGCCACUGGAGAACGGUCGCGUCCUAACGCAGGGCUCCACCUUCACCUAUCAGGAUGUGGUGGAUCAGCUGCUGGUUUACACGCCUGAAACUGUCAGCGGGGGAGCAGACGAGAUGGCCUUCACCCUCACCGAUGGCAUUCACACCCACACGGGCCGCCUGGAGUUCACGAUGGACGUCACGAGGAGCGAGGGACCUCGAAUGACCGUCAACAGAGGACUGCAGCUUCCAGCAGGGUCAUCAUCUAAGAUCACAGAGCAGAAUCUGAAAGGUACUGACAUCGACUCAGACCACCUGAAGCUCCGGUACAUCUUGACCAAAGACCCCCCGGUCGGCAAGCUGCAGCUCAACAGGAGCAGCCGAGUGGAGCGAGUUUCUGUGAAAGGUCCCGUUCAGAGCUUCACUCAGGAGGACGUCAACAAAGGCUUGCUGCACUACAGCCACGAGAAGGGGGAGAAAGGAGGCAGCCUGUCGUUCAAGUUCAACCUGGUCGAUCCGGAGGGCAACAAACUGAUCGACCAGUCCUUCUUCAUCAGUGUGCUUGAGGACCAUCUCCCUCCAUCUGUAGUGGUAAACAAAGGCCUGGUGCUUGAUGAAAACUCAGUGAAGAAGCUGACCACGCUGCAGCUGUCAGCCAGCGACCAGGACAGCGAGCCGGGCGAGCUCAUCUACCGUGUCACCAAACAGACGAGCCUGGGGCACCUCGAGCAUGCUGCCAGUCCAGGCACCAGGAUCAGCACCUUCACGCAGGCUGACCUGGCAUCACGCAGCAUCCAGUACGUCCACACCAGUGAAGAAGAGAAACAUGCUGACCAGUUCUCCUUCACCGUGUCCGACGGGACAAAUGAGGUUGCCCAGACUUUCUACAUCACCAUCAAGCCUGUGGACGACUCCCUGCCUCUUCUUCAGGUCCCUGGCAUGAGGGUGCAGGAGGGUGUGAGAAAGACCAUCACUGAGUUUGAGCUGAAAGCCACCGAUGCGGACACAGAGGCGGAGUCUAUCGUCUUCAGCGUCGUCCAGGCUCCUCGACACGGCACCAUCGAGCGCACCAUCAACGGCCAACACUACCGACAGACCAGCAGCUUCACCAUGGACGACAUCUACCAGAACCGCAUCAGCUACAACCACGACGGCUCCAACUCGCUCAAAGACCGCUUCACCUUUACCGUGACCGACAGCACCAACUUGCUCUUCAUGGUGGAGGAUGACGGCAAAGAGAUAGUGACAGCCGCUCCCCAGAAGUUCAAGAUAGAUAUCCUGCCAGUUGAUGAUGGAACGCCGUUAAUUUUCACCAACCUGGGACUGCAGUGGCUGGAGUACAUGGAUAACAAGGCCACCAAUCUGAUCACCAAGAAGGAGCUGCUGACCAUGGACCCAGACACAGAUGAUGGACAGCUGGUUUAUGAAAUCACCACAGAGCCAAAGCACGGCUUCCUGGAGAGCAAGCUGAAACCUGGGAACCCCAUUACCGCAUUCACACAAGCCGAUAUCAAUCUGGGUCUGAUCCGGUACGUGCUUCAUCAGGAGAACGUCCAGGAAACCAUGGACAACUUCAAGUUCCUGGUCAAAGACAGCAAGCCAAAUGUGGUCAGUGACAAUGUCUUCCACAUCCAGUGGUCCCUCAUCAGCUUUGAGCACAAAAGCUACAAUGUGAGUGAGAAGGCCGGCACAGUGGCGGUGACCGUGAAGCGAACCGGUAAUCUCAACCAGUACGCCAUCGUGCUCUGCCGCACUGAACAGGGCAGCGCCACCUCCACGAGCAGCGUCGGAUCCCGACCCGGACAGCAGGACUAUGUGGAAUACGCUGGGCAGGUGCAGUUUGAUGAGCGUGAGGACACAAAGGUGUGCACUAUAGUCAUUAACGACGACAAGGUGUUUGAGGGGAUCGAGAGCUUCCAUGUGGAGCUCAGCAUGCCCGUGUAUGCGCUGCUGGGUGGAAACACGCGCGCUGUCGUCAACAUCAACGACACAGAAGACGAACCCACUUUGCAGUUUGACAAGAAGAUUUACCACGUCAAUGAAAGCUCAGGCUUAAUCCAGGCUCCCAUUGAAAGGAAAGGUGAUACCUCCAGCACAGUCUCUGCUCUCUGCUACACCGUAGCCAAGUUAGCGCAGGGCAGCAGCCUCCACGCUCUGGAGUCCGGCUCUGACUACAAGAGCCGCGGCAUGACCACCGACAACCGAGUGAUCUUCGGUCCUGGAGUCAGCAUGUCCACCUGUGAUGUUAAGCUCAUCGAUGACAGCGAGUACGAACUGUCCGAGGAGUUCGAGCUGGUGCUCUCAGACGCCUCCGAUAAUGCACGCAUGGGCGACGUGUCGGUGGCCAAGGUCAUUAUCGACGGACCCAACGAUGCAUCGACUGUUUCUCUUGGAAACGCCACGUUUACCUUCAGUGAAGAUGCUGGCACAAUUGAAAUACCAGUGCUGCGUCAUGGCAGCGACCUGUCCUCGCUGACCUCUGUGUGGUGCGCAACCCGACCUUCAGACCCUCCGUCAGCCAGCCCCGGGGUCGACUACAUUCCCAGCUCCAAGAAAGUGGAAUUCAAACCUGGAAAAACUGACGAGACAUGCAGUUUAACCAUCAUGGAUGACAUCCAGAACCCGUCCAUCGAGGGGUCUGAGUCCUUCGUGGUGUUCCUCAGUUCUCCUCAGGGUGCUGUCCUUCAAGAGCCCUACGAAGCCAACGUCAUCAUCACGGACACGUUUCAGGACAUUCCUAACAUGCAGUUUGAGAAGAGCUCCUACACCGUGAAGGAGAAAGAUAACCUUCUCCACAUCCCCAUCAUCCGGACCGGCGACCUCUCCUUCAAGUCAUCUGUGCGCUGUUUCACCCGGACCAUGUCCGCCAUGGUGAUGGACGACUUUGAGGAGAGAAGGAAUGCAGAUGAGUCGCGCAUCACUUUCCUCAAAGGAGAGAAGGUGAAGAACUGCACAGUUCACAUCACUGACGACUCAGUGUUCGAGCCUGAGGAGGAGUUUCAGGUGCAUCUCGGUACACCGCUCAGUGACCACUGGAGCGGCGCCAUGGUGGGAGCUAACGAUAUUGUCACUGUAACCAUCACCAACGAUGAAGAUGCUCCCACCAUUGAGUUCGAGCAGGCGUCCUAUCAGGUGAGAGAGCCUCCCGGUCCAGAUGGCAUCGAAGUGCUCAACAUCAAAGUGAUCCGCAGAGGAGAUCUGGACCGAACGUCCAAGAUCCGUUGCAGCACCCGGGAUGGAUCGGCCCAAUCUGGAGUCGACUACAAUCCCAAGAGUCGAGUGCUUAAGUUCACCCCGGGCAUGGACCACAUCCUCUUUAAAGUGGAGAUUUUGUCCAAUGAGGACAGAGAGUGGCACGAGUCCUUCUCAUUGGUCCUUGGGCCUGAUGACCCGGUGGAGGCAGUGCUUGGGGAGAUCACAAUGGCCACAGUGACCAUUCUGGAUCAGGAGGCGGCAGGAAGUCUCAUCCUACCUGCCCCACCUAUUGUGGUCUCUCUCGCUGACUACGAUCAUGUCCAGGAGGUGAUCAAAGAGGGCAGCAAGAAGACUCCCUCUCCAGGUUACCCUCUGGUGUGUGUCACCCCCUGUGACCCUCACUACCCCAAGUACUCUGUGAUGAAGGAGCGCUGUGAGGAGGCGGGAAUCAACCAGACCCAAGUUCACUUCUCGUGGGAAGUGGCGGCUCCCACUGACACCAGUGGCGCCCGAUCCCCCUUUGAGACGGUCACCGAUACAACCCCAUAUACUAGCGUCAACCAUAUGGUUCUGGACAGCAUUUAUUUCAGCCGACGCUUCCACGUUCGCUGCGUGGCUCAGGCCAGAGACAAAGCUGGACACCUGGGAACACCGCUGAGGAGCAACAUCGCCACCAUCGGCACAGAGGGCUCCAUCUGCCACACACCUGUCACCACGGGAACCGCCAGAGGCUUCCAGGCUCAGUCCUUCAUCGCCACACUCAAAUACUUAGACGUCAAGCACAAAGAGCACCCCAACCGGAUCCACAUCUCAGUCCAGAUCCCCCAUCAGGAUGGAAUGCUCCCCCUGGUUUCCACCAUGCCGCUGCACAACCUUCACUUCCUGCUGUCAGAGUCGAUCUACAGGCAGCAGCACGUCUGCUCCAAUCUGGUCACCCUCAAAGACCUUCAGGGGAUCGCCGAGUCAGGCUUCCUCGAUGAUGUAUCGUAUGACAGCAUCUCUCUGGGGCCAGGCUACGACCGCCCCUACCAGUUCAACCCCAACGUCCGCGAGGGCAAGAGCCUCCAGCUCUAUAAGCACCUCAACCUCAAGAGCUGCAUCUGGACCUUCGACGCCUACUACGACAUGACAGAACUCAUCGACGUGUGCGGGGGCUCAGUCACCGCGGAUUUCCAGGUUCGGGACUCUGCUCAGUCCUUCCUGACGGUGCAGGUUCCUCUCUAUGUCUCCUACAUCUACGUCACAGCACCGAGAGGCUGGGCCUCUCUGGAGCACCACACUGAGAUGGAGUUCUCUUUCUUCUAUGACACCGUGCUCUGGAGGACAGGUAUCCAGACUGACAGCGUCCUCUCAGCCAGACUGCAGAUCAUCAGGAUCUAUAUCAGGGAAGACGGUCGGCUGGUAAUUGAGUUUAAAACGCACGCCAAAUUCAGAGGUCAGUUUGUGCUUGAGCACCACACCCUGCCGGGCCACAAGUCCCGCCUCAUGGCCCCCGACCACCUCGGAGGCAUCGAGUUUGACAUCCAGCUGCUGUGGAGCGCUCAAACCUUUGACUCACCGUACCAGCUGUGGAGGGCUACCAGCUCCUACAGCAGGAAGGACUAUUCUGGAGAGUACACCGUCUUCUUGGUCCCCUGCACUGUUCAGCCAACUCAGCCGUGGAUUGAUCCCGGUGACAAACAGCUGUCCUGCACAGCUCACGCUCCAGAGAAGUUUCUGGUGCCGAUUGCCUUCCAACAAACCAACAGGCCUGUUCCUGUGGUUUACUCGCUCAACACGGAGUUCCAGCUGUGCAACAAUGAGAAGGUGUUCAUGAUGGACCCGGCUACUGCUGAUGUGUCCAUGGCUGAGAUGGAUUACAAGGGAGCGUUCUCCAUGGGUCAGACUCUGUACGGCAGGGUUUUGUGGAACCCUGAGCAGAACCUGAACGCAGCCUACAAACUGCAGCUGGAGAAGGUUUACCUGUGCACUGGCAGGGACGGAUACGUUCCCUUCUUCGACCCCACGGGGACUCUGUACAACGAGGGGCCGCAGUACGGCUGCAUUCAACCCAACAAACACCUCAAACAUCGCUUCCUGCUGCUGGAUCGUAAACAGCCCGAUGUCUGUGACAAAUUUUUCCACGACGUUCCUUUCGAGGCUCACUUUGCCUCAGACAUCCCGGAGCUGCAGUCCAUGACGGCCAUGCCAGGUGUUGACGGCUUCACGAUGAAGGUUGAUGCGCUCUACAAGGUGGAGGCGGGGCACCAGUGGUACCUGCAGGUAAUUUAUGUGAUUGGCCCCGAGUCGCGGUCCAACCCCAGGAUUCAGCGCUCUGUGACCUAUCAGCUCAGCCGUUCUAAACGCGACCUGGUGGAUCGCAGCGGCCGGCUGACGCUUGACGAGUCGCUCAUCUACGACAACGAGGGAGAUCAAAUAAAGAACGGCACCAACAUGAAGUCGCUCUACCUGGAAGCCGGGCCCUCCCCCACCUUUAACGCCCACGUGGGCAGCUCCAAGGAACCAAAAAUCUAUGAGGAGUAUCCGCUCAACACCAAAGUGGAGGUGUGCAUGGACAAGUGUGUGGAGAAGAACUUCGGCACCAAGCACUGCACGGUGAGAAACAUCAACGUCCUGAACCGCAACCAGGAGGCCAACAGCAAGGCCAAGGUCAAACAGGUCAACCUGGAGGUCAAACUCCACAACAACCUCAACGACGGCACUGAGGUCUGA